UGGGGAAUAUUGCGCAAUGGGGGAAACCCUGACGCAGCCACGCCGCGUGAGUGAUGAAGGCCUUCGGGUUGUAAAGCUCUGUCGGGAGGGACGAAGGAGAAAUCCUGACGGUACCUCGCAAGAAAGCACCGGCUAACUCUGUGCCAGCAGCCGCGGUAAUACAGAGGGUGCAAGCGUUGCUCGGAUUUACUGGGCGUAAAGCGUACGCAGACGGUACGGCAAGUCGGGCGUGAAAGCCCCAGGCUCAACCUGGGAACUGCGCUCGAUACUAUCGUGCUAGAGUUCGGAAGAGGAAAGCGGAAUUCCUGGUGUAGAGGUGAAAUUCGUAGAUAUCAGGAGGAACACCGGCGGCGAAGGCGGCUUUCUGGUCCGAUACUGACGUUGAGGUACGAGAGCGUGG
rnacentral:rRNA from 1 species